CCAAAUUAGACCCUGCGGCUCGUGACGACACAUUGAUGUCCUAAGACACGAAACGAUCGGUUUGUGCGAGAAACCGAUCAGUAUUUAUAUAAUUUUUUUACCUCUAAUACACCACUAUGUGUAGACCCAGAAGACCCCGCCCCCCUGCCGUCUUUGGAGCCCAUCGAUGCCAGAGCUGGGAUGGACGCCAAUCUUUUCCGUGAGCCCUUCCCGAGACGUCAGGGACUCCGGCCUAGGAUUACGCUGGACCCGACGCCUCCAAGUCUUCCUGAUCCGUCAGGAAGGAAGAGGACAGGGCAAUGUCUCGCUGCGGCCGGACCAACCCCAAAGCUGCCUCGUUUAAGUCUCCCGCCACCCCGUUCACUUCCGGGUGUUGGAGAAAAGAUGUUUGUUAUGCGUGCUUUGCCCGUGUCUGUUGCGCCCACACCAACCGCCGUUCUCAUGGCGAGUAAAAUAAAAAACAAACAUUUUCAAAAAGAGCAAAUUUCCUCUUCCACCCACCACGGUUCACAGGCCCCAAUUCAGCGGCCUGUCAUCUGCCCUAAUCCAACCCCUUGCCACACAGGCCGAGGCCUGGCAGGCCAUCCCUGGAGUGUCAAGCUGGGUUUUGGGGAUAAUAAAUCAUGGCUACUUACUGCAGUUCGCCCAGACCCCCACUUUGGUGAAAACAGAUGACACGCACGUCCUACGUACCGAAGUGAUGGCUCUGAUGGAAAAGGGAGCCAUAGAAGUGGUCCCUCCAUCCAAGAGAAAGUCGGGUUUUUACAGCCGGUAUUUCCUCGUCCCCAAGAGAGGUGGCAGGUCUCAGGCUCAUCCUCGACCUCAGACUUCUGAACCGCUCCCUCAUGAGAUGAAAGUUCAGAAUGUUAACGUUGAGACAGAUCCUUGCGCAGAUUUGCCCCAGGGACUGGUUCUUCUCGCUGGAUCUGAAAGAUGCAUACUUUCACAUCCAGAUAGCCCCCCCAUCACAGACGAUUCUUGAGAUUCGCAUUCGAGGGAGUGGCAUACCAAUAUAUGGUCCUUCCCUUCGGGUUGUACCUAGCUCCGCGCACUUUUACAAAGUGUAUGGACACGGCUCUUUCCCCUCUGAGGCAGAUGGGAAUCUGCGUUCUGAAUUACCUCGACGACUGGCUCAUAUUGGCCCAGUCUCAGGACGAGCUAGCAUACCACAGAUCUGUGCUCCUCAGCCACUUGGAGUGCCUAGGGCUCAUGGUCAAUUUUGCCAAGAGCUCACUGCUCCCCAGCCAACGUAUUUUGUUCCUGGGGGCCGUUUUUGCCCAAAUGAGGGCGACAGUCUCGCCAGAGCGCACUCUGGCCAUUCAGCAGCUCGUGGUUUCUGUUCUACAGUUCUACAGGACCUUUGAGCAGUUCUACAGCUUGGCCUCCUACGAAUGCUCCUCAUGCUUGGCGGCACGGCCGCUUCUAUAUCAGGGUGAAUCAGGCCUGUUUAACAGCCCUGAACCCCUGGAAAAACCCUCAGUGGUUCAGCCGUGGGGUCCCCCUAAGGGCGGUAUCCAGAAGGAUGGUGGUCUCGAUGGACGCGUCCAACACGGGUUGGGGCACUCUGUGCGAGGGCAGACCAGCCUUCGGUUCUUGGUCGAGCGAGGAGAGCCGGCUACACAUCAACUGCUUAGAGAUGCUAGCAGUUUGUCUGGCCCUCCAGGCUUUCCUGAAGGGACACCGUGUCUUAGUCCGGUCGGACAGCAUGACAGUGGUGUCCUACAUAAAUCACCAAGGCGGGCUUUCGUCCGAACGCCUCUACGCAUUGACAAAGUGGCUCUUGGUGUGGGUACUGCCCAACCUGCGGUCGCUAAGGGCAUCGCAUGUUCCGGGCAAAUUGAACCAGGGAGCAGACAUGCUGUCUCGGAGCAAUGUCCCCUCAGACGAGUGGAUGCUCCACCCCCAGACGGUUAUCAAAAUUUGGGAGAUCUUCAGGAAGGCAGAGGUCAACCUCUUUACCUCAGAAGACAACUCUCACUACCCAAUCUUCUUUUCAAGGGACAAGGAUGCGCUGGCUCACAACUAGCCCAGCUUCCUAUUCUCGCCCUUGUACCGUCCCCGCAUGGGACCUCUCCAUGGUCCUCAGAACGCUCAAAGGUCCGCCCUUUGAACCGGUGCAGUCAGCUGACCUUCGGCCCCUCUCGCUUAAGACCGCUCUGCUACUGGCUCUAGCAUCGGUAAAGCGUGUAGGCGAUCUGCAGGCCCCCUCCGUGAGCCCUGCGUGCCUCAAAUUUGGGCUUAAUAACUCGAAGGUUGUCCUGAAACCCAGGCAUGGCUACGUACCUAAAAUGCUCUCGACUCAGAUUAUCACUCACACAGCGCUGCCUCAGCAUGAGUUGGGUUUACUCUGCCCCGUUAGGGCAUUGAGGAUGUACGUAGAGUGUUCCGCGCCUUUCUGGCAGUCGGACUAGCUCUUUGUAUGCUUUGGUGGCCGCACCAAGGGGCUUCCGGUCAUGAAGCAGAGACUCUUGCGUUGGAUUGUCGACGCUAUCGCUCUUUGUUACUCUUCUAUAGGCCUAAAAUGCCCCAUAGGAGUACGAGCCCACUCCACUAGAGGAAUGGCCUCUUCGUGGGCAUGGUCUAGUGGCCGUCCACGUUUGUCAGGUUUUACAACUUGGACGUUCCGGCGUUACACGCCCGGGUCCUCUCGGCAUGACUGGACGGGCUCUUCUUAGCCCGUCAACCGUGCUGUAGUUAUGUGUAACUGUGAGGGUGCGAUGGCUUUGCCUCCCUACUUAUCCCCCAGGCCCCUUAGCGCCUGAGAUAGGUUCAGUCGUUCCCUCCCAUGGCACGGCGUGAUUGUAUUCGUUCCCCAUCCGCAGCAUGAGUGAUGUAUCGAACUGCGUUUAUUGCCGUGCCAUGGAGCUGCACAACUCAGUGUCAUCACUUCAGUCGAUUGACCUGGUUUCCUAUGGCGAAAUGCUCGCUUAUAUAGCCAGACGCUCCGCCCAUUUCAGCGGGCUCUGGCGCGCUGCAUAGCCAUAGGCCAUAGGCCGUCAUUUGUUCAAAAAGUUACACUGCCCGAACCAAUGGCCGUGCAGUUACACUGCAUUAUUGAAAAAGGCUUCAGUGAAUCGGAGAAAAGGAGUUUUUCCCCAUCUGCAGUACUCGUUCCCGUAUCUCAGAGAACCAAGAUUACGUUCGUAACCGAGUAUGAUAUAUAGCCACCACAGACAUUUAGAGUAGGGUGACCAGACGUCCCUGUUUUCCUGGGACAGUCCCGGUUUUUGGUGCUCCAUCCCUGACUGGAGCUGUCCCCGGAAAUGUCCCCGUUUUACAGCUCGUUCAAAAGAACCCACAAAUACAUUGCAAAAACCAGCAUACAUCAGCCUGUUGGUUAUCGGAGCAAUCGUGUAGUGAUUAUAUUCACCAACAGAGGGGGCUGUGCAGCUACACUGCUACACACCUGAUCGCGCACGCGCUACUUAAUGAAGAACGUAACCUGGACCAGAGCAGAGCGCCACUAUCAUCAAUUAUCAAAAGAAACAUUGUUAUCGGUUUCAACUUUCAAGGUGCUUCAGAAUACCAUGGUAUUUUCUGUGGAGUGUUGACACAAGAUGGCAGUAGCGGUCUAACAAUGAAGUUGUCAUCUGAACUGAACAGCACCGAAGAAGAGGACCACUCAGUCACAGGUCACCGGUAUCCUGAGAAAAUCAUCAUGGCCAAGAAGAGAGGCGGAAACCGUGAGACAGAGAGCAGUCCUCUGGUUGAGCAGGAACCGAGGCCCUCCAACGAAACUCCAGUCCACAAAGGAGCCCAGUCACCAGGAGGAGCCUCUGCACGCAUGUCAAUCCUCCUCCUCGUCGCUAUCUUUGCCUGUUCUGCUUGCGUCAUGUAUCUAGUGUUCAGAAAUUUCCCAGAGCUGAGCGAAGACGAGAGGGAAA